rnacentral:rRNA from 1 species
AGUGAACGCUGGCGGUAGGCCUAACACAUGCAAGUCGAACGGCAGCACAGUAAGAGCUUGCUCUUACGGGUGGCGAGUGGCGGACGGGUGAGGAAUACAUCGGAAUCUACUUUUUCGAGGGGGAUAACGUAGGGAAACUUACGCUAAUACCGCAUACGACCUACGGGUGAAAGCAGGGGAUCUUCGGACCUUGCGCGAUUGAAUGAGCCGAUGUCGGUUUAGGUAGUUGGCGGGGUAAAGGCCCACCAAGGCGACGAUCCGUAGCUGGUAUGAGAGGAUGAUCAGGCAGCCUGGAGCGGGGACACGGUCCAGACUCCUACGGGAGGCAGCAGUGGGGAAUAUUGGACAAUGGGCGCAAGCCUGAUCCAGCCAUACCGCGUGGGUGAAGAAGGCCUUCGGGUUGUAAAGCCCUUUUGUUGGGAAAGAAAAGCAGCAGGUUAAUACCCCGCUGUUCUGACGGUACCCAAAGAAUAAGCACCGGCUAACUUCGUG